GGUGAUUUCAGAAAGUAUGGAUAUACUCUUCAGAAUAAGAGGAGGCCUUGAUUUGGCUUUUCAGCUAGCUACUCCUAAUGAAAUUUUUCUCAAGAAGGCACUGAAACAUGUGUUGAGUGACCUGUCAACUAAGCUGUCUUCAAACGCCCUUGUGUUCAGAAUUUGCCACAGUUCAGUGUAUAUAUGGCCUAGCAGUGACAUAAACACCAUUCCUGGAGAACUGACUGAUGCUUCUGCUUGUAAGAACAUACUGCGCUUUAUUCAAUUUGAGCCAGAAGAAGAUAUAAAAAGAAAAUUCAUGAGAAAGAAGGACAAAAAGUUAUCAGACAUGCUGUAACGCCCAUCAUUGAAAGGGAAAGCGGAGGAC
rnacentral:lncRNA from 1 species